rnacentral:rRNA from 1 species
GUGGGGAAUAUUGGACAAUGGGCGCAAGCCUGAUCCAGCCAUACCGCGUGGGUGAAGAAGGCCUUCGGGUUGUAAAGCCCUUUUGUUGGGAAAGAAAUCCUGUCGGUUAAUACCUGGCGGGGAUGACGGUACCCAAAGAAUAAGCACCGGCUAACUUCGUGCCAGCAGCCGCGGUAAUACGAAGGGUGCAAGCGUUACUCGGAAUUACUGGGCGUAAAGCGUGCGUAGGUGGUGGUUUAAGUCCGUUGUGAAAGCCCUGGGCUGAACCUGGGAAGUGCAGGGGAUACUGGAUCACUAGAGUGUGGUAGAGGGAUGCGGAAUUUCUGGUGUAGCAGUGAAAUGCGUAGAGAUCAGAAGGAACAUCCGUGGCGAAGGCGGCUCACUGGCUCGAUACUGACGCUGAGGUGCGAAAGCGUGGGGAGCAAACAGGAUUAGAAACCCUUGUAGUCC